GGUGAAGAACGUAGCGAAAUGCGAUACGUAAUGUGAAUUGCAGAAUUCAGUGAAUCAUCGAGUCUUUGAACGCACAUUGCGCCCCCUGGUAUUCCGGGGGGCAUGCCUGUCCGAGCGUCAUUGCUGCCCUCAGGCACGGCUUGUGUGUUGGGCCUCCGUCCUCCUCCCGGGGGACGGGCCCGAAAGGCAGCGGCGGCACCGCGUCCGGUCCUCGAGCGUAUGGGGCUUCGUCACCCGCUCUUGUAGGCCCGGCCGGCGCUUGCCGACACAUCAAUCUUUUUUCCAGGUUGACCUCGGAUCAGGUAGGGAUACCCGCUGAACUUAAGCAUAUCAAUAAGCGGAGGA
rnacentral:misc_RNA from 1 species